rnacentral:rRNA from 1 species
UACGGAGGGUGCAAGCGUUAUCCGGAUUCACUGGGUUUAAAGGGUGCGUAGGUGGGCUAGUAAGUCAGUUGUGAAAUCUCCGGGCUUAACCCGGAAACUGCCAUUGAUACUAUUAGUCUUGAAUACCAUGGAGGUGAGCGGAAUAUGUCAUGUAGCGGUGAAAUGCUUAGAUAUGACAUAGAACACCAAUUGCGAAGGCAGCUCGCUGCGCGGUUAUUGACACUGAGGCACGAAAGCGUGGGGAUCAAACAGG